UACAGAGGUGGCAAGCGUUGUUCGGAAUUACUGGGCGUAAAGGGCGCGUAGGCGGCCAUCUAAGUCAGACGUGAAAUCCCCGGGCUUAACCCGGGAACUGCGUCCGAUACUGGUUGGCUUGAAUUCGGGAGAGGGAUGCGGAAUUCCAGGUGUAGCGGUGAAAUGCGUAGAUAUCUGGAGGAAUACCGGUGGCGAAGGCGGCAUCCUGGACCAAUACUGACGCUGAGGCGCGAAAGCUAGGGGAGCAAACGGG
rnacentral:rRNA from 1 species